rnacentral:rRNA from 1 species
AUACGGAGGGGGCUAGCGUUGUUCGGAAUUACUGGGCGUAAAGCGCGCGUAGGCGGCUUAUCAAGUUAGGCGUGAAAGGCCUGGGCUCAACCUGGGGACUGCCUUUGAAACUGAUAGUCUAGAGACCGGGAGAGGAUGGCGGAAUUCCCAGUGUAGAGGUGAAAUUCGUAGAUAUUGGGAAGAACACCGGUGGCGAAGGCGGCCAUCUGGUCCGGUUCUGACGCUGAGGCGCGAAAGCGUGGGGAGCAAACAGGAUUAGAUACCCCAGUAGUCC